rnacentral:rRNA from 1 species
GAGGGGGUCGCGGCCGAUUAGCUAGUUGGCGGGGUAACGGCCCACCAAGGCGAUGAUCGGUAGCCGGCCUGAGAGGGCGCACGGCCACACUGGAACUGAAACACGGUCCAGACUCCUACGGGAGGCAGCAGUGGGGAAUUUUGCGCAAUGGGGGAAACCCUGACGCAGCAACGCCGCGUGGAGGAUGAAGUCCCUUGGGACGUAAACUCCUUUCGAUCGGGACGAAUGAUGACGGUACCGGAAGAAGAAGCCCCGGCUAACUCCGUGCCAGCAGCCGCGGUAAUACGGGGGGGGCGAGCGUUGUUCGGAAUUACUGGGCGUAAAGGGCGCGUAGGCGGUGUCGCAAGUCUCCUGUGAAAACUCCGGGCUCAACUCGGAGCCGGCAGGAGAAACUGCGGUGCUGGAGUGUGGGAGAGGUGAGUGGAAUUCCCGGUGUAGCGGUGAAAUGCGUAGAUAUCGGGAGG